GUCUCUGUGUGGUGCGGUUAAUGUGCUCAGCUGCUAACUGAAAGGUUGGAGGUUUGAGUCCACCCAGAGGCA
rnacentral:tRNA from 1 species